ensembl:lncRNA
AGCAUCGGGCAGCUAUGAGAAGUCUGGGGAUAAUAAGAAAUCUAAAAUAAAAGAAGAAGAAGAAUCUGGAAAGGAGAUUAGAAUCACAUUUGGAGAGAGUGAUAUAGGAGUGGCUGAAAAACGCCCAGGGGAACACUUUAACAGGUUCCAGCUGUGCUGCCCAAACAGCUCUGACCCACUGAGGCAUGGAUUCCACAAGACCUCUGAAGGUGUGCUGUGGUAUCUGGCACCAAGACGUUAACAGCAGAUACUUCAUGUCCUGUAAAUUGCGAGUUGUGGCCUCCAUGGAUCGGACUUGUUUGUCCAGCACAUCCCACAGAUGCUAGAUCAGAUUAAGAUCUGGGGAAUUUAGAGGCCGAGCCAACACCUUGAACUCUUAAUCAUGUUCCUCAAACCAUUCCUGAACAAUUCUUGCACUGUGGCAGGUUCAUUAUCCUGCUGAAAGAGGCCACUCCCAUGCCACAGAAGGUGUAUACUUGGUCAGCAACAGUGUUUAGGUAGGUGGUACGUGUCAAAGUAACAUCCACAUGAAUUCCAGAACCCAAGGUUUCCCAGCAGAACAUUGCCCAGAGCACUUCCUCCACCAGCUUGGCUUCUUCCCAUGGUGCAACCUGGUACCACCUCUUCCCCAGAUGCCAGUGAUCCUGACCCUUUCUGCUCUCCGGAACUGCCUGAUCCAUCCUGAUGCCCUACCUCUGGCUGGAGCUCUCUUCAACUGGAGGCUACAUUCUGCCACUGAGGUUGACACCAAGCAGUGCAGUCUUGAGAUUGUUGAGGAUGGUACCGCUUGAAGUACCAUGGAAAAGGUUUUGGACCUCAAUUCCACAUGGACAUUCUCGCUGUGGUUGCUGGGACUACGGUUCCUGCUAUGGCUUUAGGACUGAAAUUACCACAUACAAUUUUGCACUCAAGUCUCCUUUAGUGAACAGUGGACUAGAUUAACAAACAGUCUUAAUGAACAUAAUGAACUUCCCUUUACUUUCACACUAUCCGUUGUUACCCAGAUGAGUAUGGGUUCCCUUCUGAGUCUGUUUCCUGUCAAGGUUUCUUCCUCAUAUCAUCUGAGGGUUUUUCCCAAGCCACCAUCGCCACCGGCUCGCUCAAUAGGGAUAAAUCCACACACUUAAAAUCUGUAUCCUGUGUUUAUAUGUUUCUGUAAAGGUGCUUUGAGACAAUGUCCAUUGUUAAAACCGCUUUACAAAUAAAACUGAAUUGAUUC